rnacentral:lncRNA from 1 species
GAGAUCCCUCAGGAGACCAUCCGCCACCUCAUCAGGAGCAUGCCCAGGCAUUGUAGGGAAGUCAUACAGGCACGUAGAGGCCACACACACUACUGAGCCUCAUUUUGACUUGUUUUAAGGACAUUACAUCAAAGUUGGAUCAGCCUGUAGUGUGGUUUUCCACUUUAAUUUUGAGUGUGACUCCAAAUCCAGACCUCCAUGGGUUGAUAAAUUGGAUUUCCAUUGAUUAUUUUUGUGUGAUUUUUGUUGUCAACACAUUCAACUAUGUAAAGAAAAAAGUAUUUAAUAAGAUUAUUUCUUUCAUUCAGAUCUAGGAUGUGUUGUUUAAGUGUUCCCUUUAUUUUUUUGAGCAGUAUGUGUAUAUAUAUAUAUUUGUAUAUAUACAGUACGAGUCAAAGUUUGGACACCUAUCAUUCAAGUGUUUUUCUUUAUUUUUACUAUUUUCUAAAUUGUAGAAUAAUAGUGAAGACAUCAGAACUAUGAAAUAACAAUGUAAAAAUAAAGAAAAACCCUUGAAUGAGUAGGUGUAUCAACUUUUGACUGGUACUGUAUAUUGACUUUUUCCACAUUUUGUUACGUUACAGCCUUCAAUUCUAAAAUUGAUUAAAUAAAAACAUUUCCUCAGCGAUCUACAGACAAUACCCCAUAAUGACAAAGCCAAAAUGAGUUUUUAGAAAUGUUUGCAAAUGUAUAAAAACUAAAUAAAUGAAAUACCUUAUUUACAUAAGUAUUCAAACCCUUUGCUAUGAGACUCAAAAUUGAGCUCAGAUGCAUCCUGUUUCCAUUGAUCAUCCUUGAGAUGUUUCUACAACUUGAUUGGAGUCCACCUGUGGUAAAUUCAAUUGAUUGGACAUGAUUUGGAAAGGCACACACCUGUCUAUAUAAGGUCCCACAGUUGACAGUGCAUGUCAGAGCAAAAACCAAGCCAUGAGGUUGAAGGAAUUGUCCGUAGAGCUUCAAACAGGAUUGUGUCGAGGCACAGAUCUGGGGAAGGGAACCAAAAAAUGUCUGCAGCAUUGAAGGUUCCCAAGAGACACAGUGGCCUCCAUCAUUCUUAAAUGGAAGAAGUUUAGAACCACCAAGACUCUUUCUAGACCUUUCCGCCCAGCCAAACUGAGGGAGGUGACCAAGAACCUGAUGGUCAUUCUGACAGAGCUCUAGAGUUCCUUUGUGGAGAUGGGAGAACCUUCCAGAAGGACAACUAUCUCUGCAGCACUCCACUAAUCAGGCCUUUAUGGUAGAGUGGCCAGACGGAAGCCACUCCUCAGUAAAAGGAACAUGACAGCCUGUUUGGAGUUAGCCAAAAGGCACCUAAGAAACACCUGAGAAACAAGAUUCUCUGGUCUGAUGAAACCAAGAUUGAACUCUUUGGCCUAAAUGCCAAGCGUCACGUCUAGAAAAAACCUGGCACCAUCCCUACGGUGAAGCAUGGUGGUGGUAGCAUCAUGCUGUGGGGAUGUUUUUCAGCGCAGGAGACGAGUCAGGAUCAAGGCAAAGAUGAGAGAUCCUUGAUGAAAACCUGCUCCAGAGCGCUCAGGACCUGACUGGGGUGAAGGUUCACCUUCCAACAGGACAAUGACCUUAAGCACACAGCCAAGACAAUGCAGGAGUGGCUUCGGGACAAGUCUCUGAAUGUCCUUGAGGCCCAGCCAGAGCCUGGACUUGAACCCGAUCGAACAUAUCUGGAGACCUGAAAAUAGCUGUGCAGCUACGCUCCCCAUCCAACCUGACAGAGCUUGAGAGGAUCUGCAGAGAAGAAUGGGAGCAACUCCUCAAAUACAGGUGUACCAAGCUUGUAGCGUCACACACAAGAAGACUCAAGGCUGUAAUCGCUGCCAAAGGUGCUUCAACAGAGUGCUGAGUAAAGGGUCUGAAUACUUAUGUAAAUGUGAUAUUUUUGAACACCUCUUUUUGCAUCAUCAUUAUGGGGUAUUGUGUGUAAAUUGAUGAGGGGAAAACUUUUUUUAUAUAUAUAUAUAUAUAUAUUAGAUCCUGAAAUGGACACAAUUCAGUCAGUAACACAUUUUGAAUAGUUUUAUUUUCCCAUAAUUGAGUGCAUUUGUAAACAACCAUACAAACACUGCCUUUUUUAUUUCGUAAUUAAAACAAACUAUCGUUACAUUUUUUUUUACAAGCACGCAUAUUGAAGUUGGAACAUUGGAACUCUCCCUGGCUCAGUGUUUUAAUGUGUUUCUGAAAAUAACAAGACUGAAAGUAAGAACUCACCCAACUCAGCAACAUAGAAAUGUGUACAGCAAUAUAUAAUUUAACAAUGACUCGUUGGCAGAACAGUUCUCUUGCAGAGGACAUUUUAUUCUCAUUGGACUAGCCUACUUCAAGAUCAAACUGAAGGUCAAAUAAAAAAUACUCAGUCACCAUUUGAAGGAAUUCACCAUUCAGAGAAAUGUUUGGGGUUGUUUUUAUACCACUGAAAGACUGAAGUAGUCUACUGUAUCUCCUCUUCCUUCUCACCAGAGGGACAUAUGAGUUUAAAGAUAUCUAUUCAGAUCCAGGUCAUCAACGAUCCUAGUUAAAUAACAAUGCCUAGUUAAAUACAGGUAAAACAACAACAAUGGCAUCGUUCAGGUCUAAUUACUCUGUCACUACAAUGAACUAAUGAUUGGGGGAGGGGGCGGUAAUCAUUUGCUAAUUAUUGACAGUGGGAAAGUAUUAAUUGUAUGAUGUCUCAAUAGAUCGAAAAUGAGUACAAAUUGUGGAGAGGCAAACUUUCUGUUGUAUACCAUCCUGUGUCUUUUGCAGGGGGAGUAUACAGUAUAUUCAACAGCCAAUUAUAGCUCUAGUAAGAGUCAGUAAACUCCAGACCGACAGACUUUUUGAAAAUGUUUUUUUAGGCGUGUUUGGCAUGCAGUUCAGUCAUGGGCAAAAUCGCCUUUGACAUUUGAAAGACUUUUUGAUUGAUAUUGACAUAUCAAAGCAGAGAAACUGCCAUGUUCUGCAGAGGUUGUAAAAACACUGACUGCAUUUUAAAGGCAAAACACAAAAUUAGCUACAAAACAUCUGUUUAGGUCUAUGCAUGCAGUCUUCAAUUUAGUCAAAACAUCAUGAUUUAACAAAUGUAAUUCCAAUUUACCAAACCUUCUCAAAUGUCAAAAAUAAACAAUUUGGGAGAAUGUUAGACGAAUGCUGCUUUUAAUCCAAGGUUAUUCUAGCAUGCUAGGCAAUAGAUGCCUGAAUGUCCAGCUUCAAGAUCCAUAUGGUCUCUGCCUGUUUGGGAAUGCUUGUGUGGAUCCAAAAGAAACCCUAUCAAAACCCUGGUCACAUGUGAGUUAUAGGGAUCCAUAACCCUCGUGACAGGUGAGUUAUAGGGCUGCAUAACCCUCGUGACAGGUGAGUUAUAGGGCUCCAUAACCCUCGUGACAGGUGAGUUAUAGGGAUCCAUAAGCCUUGUGACAGGUGAGUUAUAGGGAUCCAUAACCCUCGUGAUAGGUGAGUUAUAGGGAUCCAUAACCCUCGUGACAGGUGAGUUAUAGGGCUGCAUAACCCUCGUGACAGGUGAGUUAUAGGGAUCCAUAAGCCUCGUGACAGGUGAGUUAUAGGGCUGCAUACUGAAUUCUGAGGGCAUGUUCCAUAUCUCUACCUCGAGGUGACAAGACACACACUUUGUUUUAGCAAUCAUACACACACGCACACACAUCCCUCUGUGUCUCCCGGUUCUCUCUCCAGACAUCUCAGUCGAUCCCAGGGGAGAGCAAUCCGUCACCGAGCUACUUUCUUUUGAAAGAGGAAAACAUCUCCAAUUGAACGCUGGAUUCAGGCUUCUUUGUGUCAACCCCAUCAUAUUGUAGGCCUCUUGAAACUGAUCACAGUCAAUAUACAGUAUCAAUGGUCAAUUGAUUGAUUAUAAAUGUGUGUUAUAUGUAUUGAGCUGCAGAUUAUCAGUUUGUCUAUUUGUCAAUGGAAAGGCCAAAUCAGAAUCAUAAAAAAAGCCUAAGCCAUCAUGUUAAGAAGGCCGUCAUGUUAAGAAGGCCAUCAUGUUAAGAAGGCCAUCAUGUUAAGAAGGCCAUCAUGUUAAGAAGGCCAUCAUGUUAAGAAGGCCGUCAUGUUAAGAAGGCCAUCAUGUUAAGAAGGCCGUCAUGUUAAGAAGGCCAUCAUGUUAAGAAGGCCAUCAUGUUAAGAAGGCCAUCAUGUUAAGAAGGCCGUCAUGUUAAGAAGGCCAUCAUGUUAAGAAGGCCAUCAUGUUAAGAAGGCUGUCACGAGGCUUACAAGGCAUGGUUCAUGACUCCAGUCUUUAGUAUCUUUACGAUUUUAGUAGACAGAAACCCACGUCUGCAGCGCGCUAACAAUUCAGUGCCUCAGAGCGUCUAAAAAAUAGGUUACCCUUUUCAAAUGUGAAUUUGUAGUUCUUUUGGACAGUGAAGCGAGAUGAAAAGCAGCAGUAGUAGGUGUUGUUUCGCUGUCAUCUCGCCCAGCUAACCUACUUCCUGGGACUCUUCAAGCUCCCUGUAGUCUCUUCAUCAGCAGGAACACAAAAAUACAUUUUUGUCACAACAGACAACUUUGUCUUGCCAGAAACUCAUGAAUAUUCAUCUACAAAUGAAGACUUCUGAAAGGUGUCGCAAACAGAAAACGUCCUGAUGAAGCCUCUGGGGACAUGGAGGAAAUGGGUAGAACUUUCAGAAGGUGAUCCACCCUGUUAAACUUGUAUGGAUACCAGUCUGUUUCUGUGCUCUUGCCAACUCCUUGUGGAAUUGUCACGACAGCAAUGGAGUUGCGAAAAGCA